rnacentral:rRNA from 1 species
UACAGAGGGUGCGAGCGUUGUUCGGAAUUAUUGGGCGUAAAGGGCGCGUAGGCGGCGCCACAAGUCACCUGUGAAAACUCUGGGCUCAACCCAGAGCCUGCAGGCGAAACUGUGGUGCUGGAGUAUGGGAGAGGUGCGUGGAAUUCCCGGUGUAGCGGCGAAAUGCGUAGAUAUCGGGAGGAACACCUGUGGCGAAAGCGGCGCACUGGACCAUAACUGACGCUGAGGCGCGAAAGCUAGGGGAGCAAACAGG